rnacentral:rRNA from 1 species
CCUACGGGGGUCAGCAGUAGGGAAUCUUCCACAAUGGGCGAAAGCCUGAUGGAGCAACGCCGCGUGGGUGAAGAAGGUCUUCGGAUCGUAAAACCCUGUUGUUAGAGAAGAAAGUGCGUGAGAGUAACUGUUCACGUUUCGACGGUAUCUAACCAGAAAGCCACGGCUAACUACGUGCCAGCAGCCGCGGUAAUACGUAGGUGGCAAGCGUUAUCCGGAUUUAUUGGGCGUAAAGGGAACGCAGGCGGUCUUUUAAGUCUGAUGUGAAAGCCUUCGGCUUAACCGGAGUAGUGCAUUGGAAACGGGGAGACGUGAGGGCAGAAGAGGAGAGUGGAACUCCAUGUGUAGCGGUGAAAUGCGUAGAUAUAUGGAAGAACACCAGUGGCGAAAGCGGCUCUCUGGUCUGUAACUGACGCUGAGGUUCGAAAGCGUGGGUAGCAAACAGGAUUAGAUACCCGGGUAGUC